GUUAAGGAAGCAUUUUUUUAGUUGAAAAUAUGGUUACCACACUGAGAAAUUGAAAAAAUAAUCAUAUUUGUAUGUUGGUACCAAGCUUUUAUACAGAAAUUAAAAUAAACUACAUGCCUAAUAUGACCAUUCCAUAGACUGAGAAUAUACCAGGAAAGACACCAAAGCACACAUGCAAAGAGGGAAACUGCAUACAUUCAGAUUAUCACAGUGAGCAACUAAGAUUGCUUAUGGCCACCAGAAGUUCUCUAAGUGGCCGAAAAGCCCUAUGGAAGUGGCAUGUGGGCACGUCAGCAGAUCCGAGCAGCCUUCCUCACUGGCCGGUUGGUGCUACUACUGAUUUCGUCCUCCUGUUGACGAAGACAAUGAUGCAGUAGUCCAAUACAUAUGAAAGCAAGUGGUUUCAUCAUGAAGCAUAUUGACAUGGUGUGCAGAUUUGGUUUUCUGAAAUAAGGCAUGAGCAAUUAACAAAAAAAUCAUCGCAGAUGGCCAGAGAUAUGAAUGCAAACAUGUUAUAAUCACCUUCUUAAAGCAUGCAAACCAGUAAUAUAGGUAACAAACCGUGAGUUCAGUAAGAUUUUGGACACGAAAUGUUAUUUACAUAGCAGGAAAAAGCUUUUGUUGUACAAAACACAGUGUCACAAAAAUAUAUCCCAAUAAGAAGCUUGCUUAUUUUCACAUGGCCUGUUUAUAUUUCUGGUAACUAAAACAACAUGGCAUGAGCAAGAAAAUAAGAGAAUAAAGCUAUAACUAGAUUGUUCAAGAAACCUCUAUAGCUUGCAUAUACACCAAUGAAAGGUAGUAAAAAAGAAGGCACUCAGCAACCACAAUUCAGAUUAGAAGUGCACCUAACCAACGGGAUCAUGGUAUUCAACAUUGAUAUUUCUUUACAAACCAGGUUAGAACCACAUUUAACUGAAGAAAGUCAUGUUAAUGGAGCAAUAAAGCCUUUACAAACAUGGAUAUGAACCAAUGGCACAUGAGCACUCAAUCAAGCAUGAAACAAACCAGCAGGAUAUUGCGGUAUAAACUGUAUUAAAACCACAUUUUUUACAAUGAGAUCCAAAGGAAAACCCCACAAACUGGCUAGCAAUCAGAACAAAUCUAACCUUGCCUCGGCCGUGGACCAAAACAACCAAAACAUGGGGCAGCGGAGCAGUGACGACACCAUCCAUCCAUGUAUCACUGAUGACACUUGAAAACUGAAACGACCCUGAUAAACAGAGUGUCCGGGUGGUAAGGAUGAGAUAGGUUCAUUAUCAUAUUUUUCAGGUUUUAGAGCAUAUUCUAAGAUAAGAGCAUCCAUCUUGUCAUUGUUAAUUAAUGGUUAGUGUAUUUGCAAGUAAAAUUGUUGAAGCCUGAGGUGUAUAACUAUAUAGGAGAAUUUUGGUAGAUCCAGAUUGGCCGGUAUUGCAUUUGAAAUACGCUAGGUGUAGUAGUUUAAGGCACCAUCAUCAAGAUAACAUCAUUCAUGUGUUCUCUGGUCUCUUUGCCAUCAAAUUAUAUGCAUGGGUUUUCUAGUGCGUCUAUAUUUGUAUCUCAAAUGUUGAUGCUCUACCUGAUCACAACAAUUGCUUUAAUCUAAACUAAUGAUAACCUUGCAUGUCAUCUAAGGAAGAAGAGUGAAGCGGAUACGCAUAAGAAUGCCUACCAUUUACAGAUAUGUAUCAAAAACAAAAGCAUGAGUGAUAGUGAUAGGGACGCAUACAAAAGCUAUGACUCAAUCCUUGGCACAAGUUCCCGAUUUAAAUCAAGUGUUAUUUGCAUAGCAAAGGACUUUAUUUUCAUAUACAAUUAUUAUAUAUCAAUCUUUAAUGUGGCAGAACCAUAAAUCAGAACAUAACGCCAAUUAGUGUGCAUUUCAGCCACCUUCAGCAUUGUAAAUCAAGAUAAACAGUGGAGACCAAGAUAAACAAUAAGAAACGCCAAAAUACUAAUCAUCAACUUAGUGUUUUGUUAAUUGUUCUAUACCAAGCAUCAAUGGUAUUUACACUCUUAUCAUAACUGAUAAAAAAAGAUGCAUCCUUGGACAUGCUUAUUAGUUUUACGCUCAAAUAGAACUUAUUAGGCCAAUAAACCAUACAGUGUGAUCUCUUAGGUACUUAACAACCUCUCAUAGGUUAAUCAGAAACUCUUUUAUUGAUUUAGAUGUAGUAACCAAGUCAAUGUGUACCUUUUGGCAAGUUCGUGCACUAUUGCAUCAGCUUUGAGGUCCAACAAUCAAAAAAAUCCCAAGCACAUGAAUUGAGCGAACGCCUGACAGAACAAAGGAAUAGUGAGUGUUAUCUAUACAAAAACUAAGACAAUGAAGUAGGAUGGAUAAUUAUUUACAACAGAAGAAAGGGUGGAGUAUGAUAUCUCUACUCGACUCUGAAUUAGCAAAAUAAGAAGACAUGGAAAGGCACUUGAAAAACAUCAUAGCGAAGUUCUUGGGCCACAUGAAAAAACAUUCCGAUGAAAAAAAUAGAGUCCUCAAAGUGAGAAUUAAUCUAUCCAAUCUACAUGUAAGAUUACAGUUUUGAUCUACACAACUAAACCCAAAUCAAUAAUAUAAACCUAAAUGCAAAGACUUUGGAUGACAAAAAGGCGUGCAUAUCUGAACGAAAAUGGGGUUCUUCAUAACUUCAAACCACCCUUGCAUGCUUUGGUUCGAUACUCAGCCACUGGCAGGCCCAAAGAUUCUAAAAGGACAUCCAGCACCAUUUUGUAGGGGAUAUUCACCAUUGGGGGAGUAGCCUGUGGUUUAAAAUGGAUGCUAUUAAUUGGCAGAGUAUGAAAAGAAUGUAAGGCAUAGCCUAAAACGGCCUAUUUAUUUGACACCCAAAACAUAGAGUAACUGGAAUCCUAUGGUUAAACCAUGCCUGCUAGGCUGCUACAGCAUAGAAAGAAAAGAAAACACACAUAGAUCACCAAUUAGAAGGGCUCCCUGCACACCAAACAAUGGUCUGUACAAGUAAUUGCACUAAUACAAUAGAUAUCAAACUAAUGGUGUGCAUUAGGUACAGAGGUAUCCUCUUGUGAUGUUGAGAAGGGAAUGGCAAUGGUUGAAUAUCUACUGAUGAAUGGCACCACCUCCAAUCCAUGUCUUUCCAUGACAAUGAAAAGGGAACGGGAAUGCUUACAUGGUACGGGGGCAUUUGCGCUACAGAAAUCUUGCAUAGAUGUGUUUAGAGAGAGAGAGAUGAAGAGCGAUGGGGAAGCUCAUCUUGGCGCCUCCCCAAAAUCCACCUGUGGUCGCCUGUCCCCAUUACCCACGCCAGGCACCAAAUCAAGCAAAGGAACAAAAGAAUCCUCUAUAAAGAGAAAAGGAGCUCCAAGACAAAUCUAUCCCCUUCUCGACGAGGAAAGAUCUAGGUACCAAACAAACUAAGAAAGCCGACAAAAAACUUCUAGGAAUAUAGCUAGAUCCGAGAGCAUCUCCUGGGCAGUAACAAACAAAAAUCCACUUUGCAGAAACUAAGCUGAGGUACCCAACAAAUUUAAAAAGAGGACAAAAUUUCUAUAUGAAAGCCCAGCUAGAUCCGAGCAUCUGGUCAACUGAAGAAACAAAAAGAUUCCCCUUUGUAGGAACCUAGCUAGACAUGAACAUUUCCUUGACAAGAAGAGUGAAGAAUCUCACCCAAUAGAAGAACUGGAGCAUGGACCUGGCGUAAUCACCGCGCAUCCUUGGGUUCGCUGCUAGGAUGCUCGUUUUCGUCGGGGUCUCCUAUCCUCCCUCGAAAUCGAACGGUGGUUGAGCACCAUGGAAGGGUCCUUUUCAAAUUGCCACAGAAAAAGCGGUACAAAAUGGAGUCAGCUCAUAAAUACAUUUGUGGGCAGAAACAUAUAUACAUAGAUGGAACACAUAAAGAUAAGGAAUGCAUCUAUCAAGUACAUGGAACCCCAUAUCACUGCCAAACAUGAAGAAACAUUAAUAAACAAGGAGAGAAGUGAUGUAC
rnacentral:lncRNA from 1 species